AGCUGAGGCAAUGCUCUAGAGAUGGUCACAGGUAUAAGCUGUUAGCUAGAGCAAUUUCAGCAGCUGGGAGGUGAGCUUAUCUAUCCACAAAGGUUAUCUGAGAGGGGCAACAACUUCUACUGCUGUUAGUUUACCUUUGGGUAUAAACCUCAACUUUGAGGAAAGAGUUAAAUUCAAUGGAAAACAAAUUUGUUGAGUGCCUACUAUGUGCAAAACAGUAUGUUGGGGCAAAAGGGGAACACAAUGUGGAAGAUCUGUUGCCCUCAAGAAGAAAAAACUGUGCAUAUCAGCAAGGUAUCUCUUCCUGAGGCCGGUCUUCGUUAGCGAGCUUGGUAAGUUGUGAUUUCCUAUGAAGCUCUACUCUCUAUACUGUACUAUUCCUAUAAAGAUAGUCAAAUACAUUUUAAAAUACAUACUUUAAAAUUAGAUAUAGGUAAAUUGUCUCCAAGGUUAUUUCUACUGCUUGAAACUCAUUGUGAAUAUAAAAGAGCUGACUUCAAAAGUUUAGACCCCUUCCACUCAUGUAGAAAGGAAAACAUUACGUACCACAGCUAAAGGAAAAUUAAAAUUAAGCACAAAUAUUUGAGACCUUUAUUUGGUUGUACCUUUGGUAUUAGAAUUACAAAAACUAUAAUAAGGAAUCCUGUGUUUCCUGUGUUUCUAGUGGUCAACAUUUGCAGACUUGGGUAUUAAAUGGAAAACAUAAAUUAUGUUUUCAGGCUUUAUGAAAUAUAGUUUGACUUCUCAGCUUUACUGAAAAUGAAGCCCCUGUUAUUGCAUUAUUUUAUUCAUCAAGAGAUGUGUAAUAAAAAAGUGUUCUAAAGAAGCAAAAUGAGUGCCCACUUUAGUAAACAUAGGAAAAAUUUCCCUUAUAAGGUAUGACUCUUUAAUUCCACCUGGAAUUCAUAAAUUAAAGAGAAGUAUAUUUAGAAUUUAUUCUCUUGACAGAGGAAUUUUUAUUUGAAACAGACCUUUUAAUUUAUUUAGGAUGUGUUGAUAACUACUGCACUCAGAAAACACCUAGAUCAGGGGAUUAGAGGAUUAUUCUGACUGCCUGACAGAGAUGACCUACAAUCAGAUUUAAUUAUCUCCUUUUCACCAAGAAAAUGAAGUGGGACUAUCCCUGCUAUUUCUGUUCCUAUUUCUAUGCAAACCUUUCUUUCAAGGCUGCCUUUAGUGUACAUGUGGCACCUACUGGGUGCUGGCUGUGUCCUAGCAUCCCAGAUAUAGCAAUGAACAAAGAGGAAUGGCUGUUGUCAUUGUGGCAUUUCUAGUCUAGUAGAAACAACAGGCAUUUACUCAUUUUCAAGAAUUAAUUUGGUGAUCAUAGUUGUACAAAGUGCUGUGAAGGAGCUUGUGGUUUGGAAAUACAUGGUGCUCUUAAUCUUAACAGUACAGAACAGGGACGUUUUGGCAGAGGUAGAGGAAGGAUGGCCUAAAGAUAAUUUGCCCCAAUCUGAACCUUCUCUGGGAUGGUCCUGAUUACUGUAUCUCUGUGUUGGAUCCAGGAGUUUUGUUUGAAGAGUAAUAUUGGUUGUGUCUGUGACUGGGCUUCUACAAAUGACAUUUGGAAAAUACAGGAAUAUCAGGACAGUGGGAAUGGAGACAAGGAAAGCUCAGAAGUUUCUCGUUUUCAUGCAGUAACCUAAAAAAAAAAGUGAAAUAACAUUCCUAUAAUAAAACACUGUUCGUGGCUAUUUUUACAUCAGUAUUUUAAAGACAUCUUUGUUUUCAACCAGAUUAAGGCUUUAUACUAUUUCAGAAUUUCAUUGAGACUCAAGGUCAGAAAUACUCAAUUCUUCAAAAUGAGCAAAAAGUAAAAAGUAACAAUAAUUUUUGUGUAAGGACACAGCUUUAAUUACUUUGUCUCCCAAUUUAGUUCUGUGAUUUAAAAGUAACUGGUGAAUUAGAUGAGAAUAUACUCCAUUUAACCAGAAACCUAGUGUUAACACAUUCAGAUACUAAUUUAUCUUCAUGUUUCUAGAGCCUUUGCUGCUAAUUCAAGGCAUUAUAAUCAAAUCCUUAGAAAUUUUGAAAGCAUUAGUUUUGUACAACAUUUUUGGAUGAAAAUGUUAUUGCAUGUUCAGUGUUGAAAACUUAGAAUAUUCAGAAUUCACCAUGAAAAUAAGAAUAACCUGUAUUCAGUUUUUUCUCUGCUUUUAUAUACAUUUUUGUUUGGUAUGCCAUGAAAAUCUUUGCAAAAAUGCUAUUAGCAUGUAAUUUAUAUUGGGAAGUGGUUUUAGGGAACAAUCGUGAUGGACUAGGAAGAGUGAGACUGGGAAGGAGGAAGUGUCAAUCAAGUGACUGCAAUCAUGUGUCACUUAAUGGUGAGGAUAUGAGAAACGUGUGGUAGGUGACUUCAUCAUUGUUCAAAUGUUGCAAAGUGUACUUAAACCUAAAUGGUAUAGCCUACUACACACCUAGUCCAUAGGGUAUAUAGCCUGUCCCUCCUAGGCCACAACUCUGUAUAGCAUAUACCUGUACUGAAUUCUGGAGGCAACUGUAACACAAUAAUAAGUAUUCAUAUAUCUAAACAUAGAAAAAGUAUAGUAAAAAUAUGGUAUAAUAGAUUAAAAAUGGUAAUCCUGAAACCAUCUGCCAAAGAGUUAAAGAAAUGAAUGAUAGAAGUUCUUGAGGCAGGAUGGCAGAUAAGAAAAGAUAUAACUUGCCGAAACACUGAAACUCUCUCCCUUCUGAGAUAAAAGAACUGGCUGAAAUUUGUCAUAACCAAGGUGGCUGACUGGAGUUUGUGCAGAACAAGCUUGCUGAUGUUACAGCCUAAAUUUCCACUACAUGUUUUAUAGUAAUUCCACCCUGAAUUUGCACAUUCAAUCCAUAAGGUAGCAUGAAGAGAUAAGUGUGCAUGCCCAAGGGCUUUCUAGACCUUCCCCUUCCUUCCACCAGUGAUCUGCUAAUCUCAAAAUCCACCCUCUAAACCUCUUCUAAUAAAAGUACUGUCUUAAAGCCAGCAUGGGGAGACAGAUUUGAGCUUGACUCCUGUCUCCUUGGGAGUUAACUUUCAACAUAAAGCUUUUCUUUUCUCAAAAACCUGGUGUCAUAGUAUUGGCUUCGAAUGCAUCAGGCAGAGUCCCUUUCGCUCAAUAACAGAUAAUACACCUAUGUAGGGCACUUAGCAUGAAUGGAGUUUGCAGGACUGGAAAUUGCUCUGAGUGAGUGAGUGGUGAGUGAAUCUAGAAGCCCAAGGACACAACUGUACACUACUGUAGAGUUGAUAAACACUAUACUUAGUCUACACCAAAUUUAUUAAAAAACUUUUUUCAAUGAUAAAUUAAUCUUAGCUUACUGUAACUUUCUUACUUUAUAAACUUUAAAAAUUUUUAAGCUUUUUGAUGCUUUUAUAAUAAUGCUUAGCUUGAAACACAUUGGACAGCUGUAGAAUAUGUUUUCUUUGUAUCCUUAUUCUAGAAGAUUUUUAAAAUUUAUUAUUUUUACUUUUAAAAUUCUUUGUUAAAAGCUAAGAUGCAAGCAUAAGCACACACAUUAGCUUAGGCCUAAACAGGGUCAGGAUCAUCAAUAUUAUCGUCUUCCACCUCCACGUCUUGUCCCACUAGAAGGUCUUCAGGGCAAUAACAGGCAUGGAGCUGUCAUCUGCCAUGAUAACAAUGCCUCCUUCUGGAAUAGCUCCUGAAGGACCAGCUGGAGGCCCUCUGAGAAGCUGGGAGGAAUGUGCCUCAGAAUUAUCUACCUGAGGGUCGAAGAGGAGAGCAAUUAUAUCCCUUGGUUCUUACACCCCCAUGCUUAGGGCUUCUCUAUGGACUAUUAAUUUCCUGCAAUUCAGGCUCCUUCAUGCAUCCAACAGACCACAUGGGUUCGGCAAGUGUCCCACACAGCAGCAUCAGAGAAACCCUGGGUCAGACAAUGGGAGAUAUCUCCCUCCUUUAAAUCCACUCCAUUACAGAAACUUCACUAUGGCAGUGGCUACAACAUUUCCAAAAGACUUAAUAGAGGAAGGUUAGUAGAACAAGCAGGUUGUUGCUGCUGUCAUUGUUCUGAGCCUACAAUGGGUAUUUAUCAUCUCCCAUUUCUACCACCUGUUCUGGUUUCUUCCACCUUCAGGCAGCACUUCAGAAAGCCUAGGUUUCUAUCAGAUAUAGUGAUCUAGACCUUCAUUCCUGAGGGAUCUGAGUCUUCAAUGCUUUGCCCUUACUGGGCCAUAAUUUUUUUUAGCUCAAAUGUUAUUUAAGCCUCAGAUUAACCCUAUGAGAUGGGCAAUCAUUGUUGUAACAGUGUUUUUAAUCUCAUCUUAAUGUUCACUAAGGAAACACGAGGAGAUGUCCUAGUGGGUUUCUUGGGUUUCAAAUAUGCUGUUUCCGGUUCCCAUUGUAUAGUGGCAACUCUAGCACCUCAUGGUAUUCAGGGCCAAUUAUCUGUACCCCCAUGGUGAUUUUUUUCUUUGCCUGCUAUGACAAAGUCCAUAUGGUUGUCAAAACUCCAGGUUGAGUGGAACCCCGGCUGGGUCUCUUGAAGGAAGUAUCUAGUAGAGGAUAAUGUUGAGGGGACAGGAAGCACAAAUUCUGCAAAUGAGUCAUGGAGUGUGAUAAUGAGAGACCAAUCCUAUUUGCAUCCUGUUUUUGUAUUCCAGCUAUGAACAACAUAGCCUGCUAUAUUGAUCACUGAUUCCAUGCCUAUAACUUCAUCUGGGAGGAUGGUGCCCUGACCACAUAGAGUCUUCUCCUAGAACUGGCUCCUUAGUUGAGCCUUUAAUGGGCCAUUUCAUUGUCCUGUUAGGCUGUGGACAUGUGUCCAUUGUUGUAUCUCCUUCACUGCAAAUUACUGCUUUGAAUCUUAUGCCAGUGAAUCAAGAAUCUGCCAGCUCUCGGACAGCUGUUUUAUAUUGACCAUAGUUGUAGAAAACCCCUGGUAGAGAUGAGGGACAUGCUACACCUGCAUGCAUUUUGUUUCCAUAGCAAUGGCUGUUGGCAAAGGUGGGUCAUGAGGGUGUGAGGUAGGGUGUAAGAUGUGUAGAAUAUACUCUGUGUGUUGUUUUGUAACUUGCAUGUUUUUUUGAGUCAGUUUGUAUGUGUUUUUUUUUACUGUUUUAACCUGACCUUAUUAGUUCUGCUCAUUUUUUGGUUUUUAAAAUUCAUUAAUUUCUGGUUUUACACUUAUUAUUUUAUUGCUUUUUCUUAUGGGAUUGUUUUGUUUGCCUGUUCUAAUCUAUUGAAUGUAAUGCUUAGAUUUUCUUUUUUUUAAAUUAACAAUGUAAGUAUUUGAGGCCAUAUAUUUUCUUCACAGGCU
rnacentral:lncRNA from 10 species